UCCGGUUUGUCACCGGCAGUCUCCUUAGAGUGCCCUUGCGUAGCAACUAAGGACAAGGGUUGCGCUCGUUGCGGGACUUAACCCAACAUCUCACGACACGAGCUGACGACAGCCAUGCACCACCUGUGAAAGUGUCCCGAAGGAAAGCCAUGUUUCCAUGGCGGUCACUCACAUGUCAAACCCAGGUAAGGUUCUUCGCGUUGCGUCGAAUUAAACCACAUGCUCCGCUGCUUGUGCGGGCCCCCGUCAAUUCCUUUGAGUUUCAGCCUUGCGGCCGUACUCCCCAGGCGGGGUACUUCCUGCGUUAGCGCCGGCACCCAAGGGGUCGCUCCCCCAGGCACCUAGUACCCAUCGUUUACGGCGUGGACUAC
rnacentral:misc_RNA from 1 species